rnacentral:lncRNA from 15 species
GUAAUGUAUAUGUUUGUCCAAUAGAUGCCCUCUGGCCACAAUGUGUUUUUUACAUAUUUCUUCACAUUGUUCUACAUGUUUUUAUAGAAACAACUGCAGCCCCCACUUUAAAUACUACAGCUACAACAAAUACAAUGGCCAGUGCUGCAACUCCAAUUAUUGCUGCUACAACUACAACAACAACGGUCACAACUACAACCACAACAACUCCCACAACCACUACAUCUGUAGCGACAACUGCUGAGGCAGUCACACAAAGGCGGCUGACUUUUAGAUCUGCUGGACAGACAUUUACAAGUGACUUGCUGAAUCCAUCAUCUGCAGCAUUUACAAGUCAAGCCACAAUGAUAAAGUCAACACUUGAACCUUUCUACCGAAACGCAUUUCCUUCAUUCCGCUCCUUGACAGUGAUUUCUUUCAGAAAGGGAUCAAUCAUCAACACCAUGGACCUUCGAUUUGCAUCUACAUCUGUACCUAAUGACACUCAGAUUGGAAAUACUUUGGUCAGCGCAGCUUCAAACAUCACAGCCUUCAACAUUGACACCACUUUCAUUUCUGUGAAUGGCACACAAGUUUCAAGUGGAGUGAGCCACAAGAUCAGUCUCAUCACUGCAUCCUUCCUUGUGCUGUUGUCAUGGCUACUUUCAAGCCAGCAAUAGUGACAGUGCUGAUAUCCAUGUGAAACCCCAUUAUAAACUGACUGCUAUCACUGGUCUAAAAAAGGACAUUGAUCUUAUUAAAAAUCCAAGAAGACCCCUGAGUAUAUGGCUUGGAAAGAACUUCCAGGCAUUUAAUUCGAAGUCGGGAUGACCACACACAUUGAUAACAAAGUUUGACUGCAAUGGCACAUUUUAUUCAAACCUUCAACAUUGUUCAUGUUUUUAUCAAUUCAUCUUAAAAAUCUGGUAUUUUCUCUCUUGGCCUAAUCUCAAGAAGGUCAUCCGUGUUUUUGUUUAAUCUUGGUUAGAUUACUAUAGUUCGUCAUAUUCAGGGUUGAGCUCACACAUUCAGCUGGUACAGAAUGCAGCUGCUGGGCUUUUAACGAAUACCAGAAGACGAGAUAGCCUCUCUUCACUGGUUAGCAGUUAGUUUGAGAAUUUGGCUGAUCACCUUUAAAGCACGAAUUGCUGCUCUCUUUGAGCCAGGUCGCAGUCUCAGGUCCUCAGGCAGGGCUCUGCUAGCUGUUCCUGAAGACUAAAGGUGACCAGGCUCUUGCAGUCAAGGCCCUUAAGCUCUGGAACCUGCUCCCCGAGGAUCUGAGGCUUGCUGAGUCACUNNNNNNNNNNNNNNNNNNNNNNNNNNNNNNNNNNNNNNNNNNNNNNNNNNNNNNNNNNNNNNNNNNNNNNNNNNNNNNNNNNNNNNNNNNNNNNNNNNNNCACACAGAGAUUGUAUCUGCACUUUUACUGGUUGGACACCGUUUGUCACCAUGUAUGACACAAUGAACUUUUACUAUAAAUCUUUUAUUGUCAUAAAAACAUGUUCUGAACUAAAAGUGGAGACAAAGUGAGUUGAGGUGCUUUAACCUCCAUUACAUCCCUGGUUAGCAGGAUGAAGGCGCCCUCUUGUGUAUCUUCCUUUGUCAGUGUGCUCACAGGAGUCACAGUCUGAUGCUGCAUUCAGGUCACGUGGGAAAAGAUUGUAGAGGAGAGAUUACAAUUAUUAUUCAGAUCAACUCUUAUGUUGAAAAUACUAUUUGGGGAUUUGAGGCUACUGGUUCAAAUAUCUCUGCUAAAUGGCCUCGUCCUGCAUUAGAAAAGUAGUCUACGCAGUUAAAACACCCAAAGAGCUGAUAGAACAGUGGCAUCAGGGAGAAGAAAACACUGAAUUUGUUAAACAAAAGUCUAUUAAUUGACAGUUAAAAUCAAUAAAAUACUAAAUACACACAGAGGAUUGUAUAAAAAGUUCAUAAAAGUAUCAGGAAAACUCAUCUCUUAAAUUAAGGAAAUAAUUUGCUCCAAAUUCCUCCAAACUGCUCAUUUUACACAAACUUCCUGCAGUUAUUGUGUUCACUGUGGUUAUUGUACCGUGUAUCAGUUGUUCUGUACUCUUACUGUUAUGCAUUGAAUAUAACAUGAAUGAUCCAUAAAAUAUGUCACUUAGUUUACUCAAUGAUAGAAAGGGGGUCCAAGCACAGAUUGAGAGCAUGUGUGCAAUAGAAACAUAGAUACUUGGUGCAGUGUACUGAUAGUGUUUGACAAGAAGUAGUACUGCAGUAUCUCACCAUAUCAAUGUUGUAUCACAGAGACUCUUUGUAGUGAAGGGAAAUAAUAAAAAGAGUGCACAAGUUCCUCAGUGUAGAUUGUCCUCUGUAAUUAAAAUAAGAAACAGCAGGUGGAGCCAGACACACACAGACAGACAUCAGUGAAUCAGUCAUCACUGCUGUUAUCAUUGAACCAGGUCAGCUUCAAAUGGAACAAUCUCACCUAAAACCAAUGGCUUUUCUGGGUCAUUUUUAAAUACUUUGUCUAACUUUUAUUUAUGGACUAUAUUUAAGUAACAUUUACACAACAUUUUACAUCAUUUUUCUGCAGUUUAAAUUGCCUAAAUUUGUUCUUAAUGUUUUUGUUUAUUGAAACAAUGACUUUAAAAAAAAAAUUGUUUAAUUUAACAACCCAUUUAUUUUUCUUAAGUGAAAAACUAUUUUUUUCAAUAAAACAUUUUCCAGCAAGUUUGCAUGGCAAAAACAACAACAAGGUAUAGUUCACCCUGUUAUAUAGUUAUAGUAUAGUUAGGUAUAGUUUUUUGUUAUUAUUUACUCACCCCUUUGUCAAUAGAAGGAUUGGUGAAGUUUUGUUAACAUCCGUGUUCUUCUGCGAGUUUGAGAGACCUUUUUUCCACUCAACUGCAGUGAGCGGUAUCUUAGCAUCAAAAGUCCCAAAAAUACAUCAAUAAUCAAUAAAAUGUCUCCAUACUGCUUGUCUGAGGUAAUCCAAGUGUCCUGUAGCUCACACAUGCCAAGACGUUUGUACAAAACAUAACAAACUUGUGUUUUCAGCUGUGUUUGCUCUGCUGCUCUUCCAAUGCGUGCUCCUUCCAACGCCGCACACAAACUUACACACUACUAACUUCCAGCUAGCCCAUCCGUGUUCACGCAGCACCACAGUGGAAGCAAAGCAGAGCAAACAAAGCCAAAACACAAUUUUGUUCUGUUUUUCAAAACAUCUAGGAAUGUGUAAGCUGCAGGACACUUGGAUUACUUCAGAUGAGCAAUAUGGAGACAUUUUUUGGAUGUUUGAAGCCAAGUUGCCGUUCAAUGCAGUUUUGUGAGAAACAAACAUCUCGGCAAACUCCCAGAAGAGCAUGAUGAGUCCUUCUAUCGGCAUCGGGGUGAGUAGACGAUGACAGAAAUUUCAUCUUAGGGUGGCUAAAAUGGGUUUGAGGUAGCUUGUUAAAGGCACAAGGACAAGUUCAGGAACUGUUUGCAUAGAGCAUACGUAGCCUAUCGUUUGGAGAGGCUUUUUAACCUUAAACUCUGGAAAACAUUUGACAUGCUGGUGCAUCUUAAAAGACAUGCUUACUAUUCCUUUUUAUCUUAAAGAACAGUGUUUUGCUCUGAGGUUCUAAACGUCUGUUUCUGUAUCAUGAGUAAUAUCCUACAAAAAGCAGAGCAUCUUGACACUAAAAAGUGCGAUAUUUGGCCCCUCGCUCUUUUCAUGCCCACACUCACAUCCGUGACCCAU